rnacentral:rRNA from 1 species
UACGAAGGGGGCUAGCGUUGUUCGGAAUUACUGGGCGUAAAGCGCGCGUAGGCGGCGAUCUUUGUCAGGGGUGAAAUCCCGGAGCUCGUCUCCGGAAUUGCCUUUGAAACGGGAUUGCUUGAGUCCGAGAGAGGAUGGCGGAAUUCCUAGUGUAGAGGUGAAAUUCGUAGAUAUUAGGAAGAACACCAGUGGCGAAGGCGGCCAUCUGGCUCGGUACUGACGCUCAGGCGCGAAAGCGUGGGUAGCAAACAGG